UUCUACAGUGUCACCAGCAUCAGCCAGAGCCAAACGCAUUCCUGGAAGAAGAAAAAAAAGUCAGUGAAUUAAAAAUAUGGUUACUGUGUAUCAAUUAUGUCCUAUAUGUGUCCAGCUGGGUACACUGCAAAGCCCAUAUAUAAAUUAACAAAUGCGAUUGUGUGGGGGAAGAUGUAGCAGCCUCUUCUCCGAACCACCCCUUUGCCUUCAGACUUCUCUGGGGCCAGCAGCCGCCCGACCACGGACCCGGGGACACGGGCUCAGCCAACUACCAUGGGCUCCGUGUCCAACCUACAGUGUGCAGGUGGCUGCGCCAAGGCGGCAGAAGAGGCGCCCUAGGAGGCACUGGAGGACGCGGCCCGGGCGGAGGACAAGCCUCAGCUGCUGCACGGUGCAGGCAUCUGUAAGUGGUUCAACGUGCGCAUGGGAUUCGGCUUCCUGUCCAUGACCACACGCGCCGGGGUCGCGCUCGACCCCACAGUGGACGUCUUUGUGCACCAGAGUAAGCUGUACAUGGAGGGCUUCCGGAGCUUGAAGGAGGGUGAGGCCGUGGAGUUCAUCUUUAAGAAGUCAGCCAAGGGUCUGGAAUCCAUCCAUGUCACUGGACCUGGUGGGGUGUUCUGUAUUGGGAGUGACAGGCCGCCAAAGGGGAAGAACAGGCAGAAGCGCAGAUCAAAAGGAGACAGGUGCUACAACUGUGGAGGUCUAGACCAUCAUGCCAAGGAAUACAAGUUGCCACCCCAGCCCAAGAAGUGCCACUUCUAUCAAAGCAUCAGCCAUAUGGUAGCCUCAUGUCCACUGAAGGCCCAGCAGGCCCCUAAGGCACAGGGAAAGCCAAAAUACUUUCGGGAGGAAGAAGAAAUCCACAGCCCUGCCCUGCUCCCGGAGGCCCAGAAUUGAGCCCCAAUGGGUGGGGGCUAUUCUUUUGCUAUCAGGAAGUUUCGAGGAGCAGGCAGAGUGGAGAAAGUGGGAAUAGGGUACAUUGGGGCUAGUUGGCACUGCCAUGUAUCUCAGGCUGGGGUUCGUACCAUCACCCUUUCUUCCCUCUAGGUCGGGGGAAAGGGUGAGUCAAAGGAACUCCAUCCAUGCUCUGUCCAAAUGCAAGUGAGGGUUCUGGGGGCAACCAGGAGGAGGGAAUCACCCUACAACCUGCACGCUUUAUCUGAGGCUCCAUCCCCAGAAUUUCCAGCUUUUGAAAGUGGCCUGGAUAGGGAAGUUAUUUUCCUUUUAAAGAAGGAUAUAUAAUAAUAAUUCCCAUGCCAGAGUGAAAUGAUUAAGUAUAAGACCAGAUUCAUGGAGCCAAGCCACUACAUUCUGUGGAAGGGAAUCUCUCAGGAAUAAGGCAGUUUUUUUUUUCCACAUCUUAUAUCCUCAUACCCACUUCUGGGAUAGGGUGCUGGCAACUGUCCCAAGCAAUGGGUAGUGAUGAUGGCAAAAAGGCUGUUUGGGGGAACAGUUGCAGACCUGCUGCUCCUACACUCACCCCGCCCCAUUCUGGGUCAAUGUGAUUUUAUUUAUUUGCUCCCUUGGAUACUGCACCUUGGGUCCCACUUUCUCUAGGAUGCCAACUGCACUAGCUGUGUGCGAAUGACGUAUCUUGUGCAUUUUAACUUUUUUUUUCCUUAAUAUAAAUAUUCUGGUUUUGUAUUUUUGCAUAUUUUAAUCUAAGGCCCUUAUUUCCUGCACUGUGUUCUCAGGUACAUGAGCAAUCUCAGGGAUAAGUCGGCAGCAGCUCCAGGUCUGCACAGCAGGAAUACUUUUUGUUGUUUUUGCCACCAUGGAGAGCAACUAUUUGGAGUGCAGAGCCUAUUGAACUACCUCAUUUUUGCCAAUGACAGCUGGCUUUUCUGCCAUAGUGUCCUCUUGAAACCCCCUCUGCCUUGAAAAUGUUUUAUGGGAAACUAGGUUUUAACUGGGUUGCCCCAUGACUUGAUUGCCUCCUACUGGAAGAUUGGAAGUUAGUCUAAACAGGAAAUGGUGGUGCAGAGAGGCUAGGAGAGGCUGGGCUAGGUGAAAGGCCCAGAGAGGAACCCAAGAUUAGGUGAGGGUUGUCUAAUCCUAGGGCACAGGACAGGCUUUACAUCCCAGAUCCAUUCUUCACCAGAUUAGACGAGGCCUACCAUGCACAACAGGGUGUGUGUGUUCAUAAAACAGGAGUUGGUAAGGGUAAGUUUUAAGACCAGUACCCCUGUACUUAAUCCUGUGCUGUCAAGGGAUGGCUAUAUGAAGUAGGGUCUAAAAUCCUCAACCUGUCAAAAUUCUUGGGUUGCAGGAAGACACACGAGCAGGGCUUUGUGGUGCCUGGGGCCCGUGUCCUGCCCUGCUGCAGUAGUGAUUCCUAGUGUCACGGUGGCUAAAGGAGAAAGGGGGUUUCGUUUACAUGCUGUGAGAUCACCGCAAACCUACCUCACUGUGUUGAAACGGGACAAAUGCAAUAGAACACAUUGGGUGGUGUGUGUCUGAUCCUGGGUUCUUGUCUCCCCUAAAUGCUGCCCCCCUCUAGUUAUUAUAUUUGUCUGGGCUUUGUAGGACUUCACUAAUUUGGUGAUUGCUAGGUGGCCUAGUUUGUGUAAAUAUAAUGUAUUGGUCUUUCUCCUUGUUCUUUUGGGUUUUGUUUACAAACUUCUUUUUGUAUUGAGAGAAAAAUAGCCAAAGCAUCUUUGACAGAAGGUUCUGCACCAGGCAAAAAGAUCUGAAACAUUAGUUUGGAGGGCCCUCUUCUUAAAGUGGGGAUCUUAAACCAUCCUUUCUUUUGUAUUCCUCUUUACCCAUCAGACCAGAUCUUCUGUCCUAAAAAUGUGUCUUCCACCCUGCCCUCUUUUCUGUUCACCCCCAAAAGAAAACCUAUACACCCACACUCAUACACAUUUAAUGCUUGGAGUGUCUCCACAACUGUUAAACAAUCUAUGCAAAAAUCUGGAAGAAGCUAGAAACCCUCCAUUCCUUGUUCCAGCCUCCUGAAUCAAGACCAAUAC